UGUAUUUAUUAGAUAAAAAACCAAUGCCCUUCGGGGCUUUUUGGUGAUUCAUGAUAACUUUACGGAUCGCAUAGCCUUGCGCUGGCGACGGUUCAUUCAAAUUUCUGCCCUAUCAACUUUCGAUGGUAAGGUAUCGGCUUACCAUGGUUUCAACGGGUAACGGGGAAUUAGGGUUCGAUUCCGGAGAGGGAGCCUGAGAAACGGCUACCACAUCCAAGGAAGGCAGCAGGCGCGCAAAUUACCCAAUCCCGACACGGGGAGGUAGUGACAAUAAAUACUGAUACAGGGCUCUUUUGGGUCUUGUAAUUGGAAUGAGUACAAUUUAAACCUCUUAACGAGGAACAAUUGGAGGGCAAGUCUGGUGCCAGCAGCCGCGGUAAUUCCAGCUCCAAUAGCGUAUAUUAAAGUUGUUGCAGUUAAAAAGCUCGUAGUUGAAACUUGGGCCUGGCUGGCGGGUCCGCCUCACCGCGUGCACUCGUCCGGCCGGGCCUUCCUUCUGAAGAACCUCAUGCCCUUCACUGGGCGUGCUGGGGAACCAGG
rnacentral:rRNA from 1 species